rnacentral:rRNA from 1 species
AACGCUAGCUACAGGCUUAACACAUGCAAGUCGAGGGGCAGCAUGGUCUUAGCUUGCUAAGACUGAUGGCGACCGGCGCACGGGUGAGUAACACGUAUCCAACCUGCCGUCUACUCUUGGACAGCCUUCUGAAAGGAAGAUUAAUACAAGAUGGCAUCAUGAGUCCGCAUGUUCACAUGAUUAAAGGUAUUCCGGUAGACGAUGGGGAUGCGUUCCAUUAGAUAGUAGGCGGGGUAACGGCCCACCUAGUCUUCGAUGGAUAGGGGUUCCGAGAGGAAGGUCCCCCACAUUGGAACUGAGACACGGUCCAAACUCCUACGGGAGGCAGCAGUGAGGAAUAUUGGUCAAUGGGCGAGAGCCUGAACCAGCCAAGUAGCGUGAAGGAUGACUGCCCUAUGGGUUGUAAACUUCUUUUAUAAAGGAAUAAAGUCGGGUAUGUAUACCCGUUUGCAUGUACUUUAUGAAUAAGGAUCGGCUAACUCCGUGCCAGCAGCCGCGGUAAUACGGAGGAUCCGAGCGUUAUCCGGAUUUAUUGGGUUUAAAGGGAGCGUAGAUGGAUGUUUAAGUCAGUUGUGAAAGUUUGCGGCUCAACCGUAAAAUUGCAGUUGAUACUGGAUAUCUUGAGUGCAGUUGAGGCAGGCGGAAUUCGUGGUGUAGCGGUGAAAUGCUUAGAUAUCACGAAGAACUCCGAUUG